UGAUUUCCUUCAGGGUCAACUGUUAUUAUGGUGGAAUUCCUCAGGCACCUUUUGGAGGCUUCAAAAUGUCUGGCUCUGGAAGAGAAUGGGGUGAAUAUGGUCUAUUGCCUUACCUGGAGGUGAAAACAGUUACAACAAAAGUACCAACAAAGAAUUCUUAGAGUCAAGGCAUCAACUCCAGUCAAUGACUACGUGUACAGUACCUCUUUCACUUAGUCUGUCGAGCAAGACUGUAAAUAAACCAUGAGGAAAAAAUGGCCACGUGAAAAUCUGGGGGCGAGAAGUGCAACCCCAGGAUUUCAUCCAGCCAUUUUUUCUCUUGUAGUUUUCUUUUGCAUCACGCACGAUGGACUGCGUGAAAAAGGGACUACUUGCACAUGUAGUCUACUCCAGUCACAGUGCCACAGCAUUGUUGUAGACAGGGAAAAAAUUGCAUGUUAAAAAAAAAAGAACUUUGAUUAGACAAC